UCCCCGAGCUGCCACAUGGCAUAGUGAGUAUAGUCACACGCUAAGAGGCGCGUGAGAGGUGCCACAUCAACAUAAAAACGGUAACAAAUCCAAUUUUCACAUUUCGCUUUACAUUUCUUUCACUUCUAGCGGCUAACAUCAGCCCCUUGUUCUUAUUUAACCCCUCCCCCAUUAAAAUACACCACAACUUAAAAUUCAAGCUUUUUGUUCUCCUUCUUUUCUAAUUGUUAAAUUUUCUCUCUCAAUUGUAAGUUUCUCUGUCAAUUGUACUCAUGACUAGAGUUUGUAGAUAUGGAUUUCCGGCGGUGGUGAGGAUUUCAUGGUCCGAUGACAAUCCGGGAAGGAGAUUUUGGGGUUGUCAAAAUUACAAGGUGAAAAGUCGAAGUUCUUGCAAUUUUUUCAAUUGGUAUGAACCACCAUUUUCGGGGCAAGCUAAUAUUGUUAUUUGGGGUUUGUUGAAGAAGAAAAACAAAUAUGAGCAAGAGUUGAAGUGGUCAAAAACAUUGAAGAUUUGUCUAUGUAUUAGUGUCCUAUUUAAUUUGAUGUUUUAUCUUGGUUCUGGUAGUAGUACUAAUUAGGUUGAAGUGAAGUUGUACUUAGAUGAUUAACAAUGGUUGUAGUACUAAUUAGGUUGAAGUGAAGUUCUAUUUAGAUGAUUAACAAUGUAAUCUAAUUUUGGUUAGCAUAUUGAAUAUGAUUAUGAUGACUUUGUGAA